rnacentral:rRNA from 1 species
UCUGGAAUGAGUCUCCGCCCAAAAGACGUUCAGGUCAUGCUCCUGAAUGCCGCCCAAGGAUGGGGCCGCGACCGAUCAGGUUGUUGGUAAGGUAACGGCCUACCAAGCCUUUUACCGGUGCGGGCCGUGGGAGCGGGAGCCCGGAGAUGGGCACUGAGACAAGGGCCCAGGCCCUACGGGGCGCAGCAGUCGCGAAAACUUUGCAAUAAGCGAAAGCUUGACAGGGCUAUCCCGAGUGCCAUCCGCUGAGGAAGGCUUUUACCCAGUCUAGAACGCUGGGAGAAUAAGGAGAGGGCAAGUCUGGUGUCAGCCGCCGCGGUAAUACCAGCUCUCCGAGUGGUGUGGAUGUUUAUUGGGCCUAAAGCAUCCGUAGCUUGCCAGGCAAGUCCCCUGUUAAAUCCACCGAAUCAAUCGUUGGAUUGCGGGGGAUACUGCCCGGCUAGGGGACGAGAGAGGCCGACGGUAUUCCCGGGGUAGGGGUGAAAUCCUAUAAUCCCGGGAGGACCACCAGUGGCGAAGGCUGUCGGCUAGAACGCGCCCGACGGUGAUGGAUGAAAGCUGGGGGAGCGAACCGGAUUAGAUACCCGGGUAGUCCCAGCUGUAAACGAUGCAGGCUAGGUGUUUGGGCGGCCACGUGCCGCUCUAGUGCCGCAGGGAAGCUGUUAAGCCUGCCGCCUGGGGAGUACGGUCGCAAGGCUGAAACUUAAAGGAAUUGGCGGGGGAGCACCACAAGGGGUGAAGCUUGCGGUUUAAUUGGAGUCAACGCCGGAAAUCUCACCGGGAGCGACAGCAGUGUGAAGGCCAGAUUAAAGGUCUUGCCAGACGAGC